rnacentral:rRNA from 1 species
AUGUGUUGUUGGGUAGGGGAGCGUUCUGUAAGCCUGCGAAGGUGUGCUGUGAGGCAUGCUGGAGGUAUCAGAAGUGCGAAUGCUGACAUAAGUAACGAUAAAGCGGGUGAAAAGCCCGCUCGCCGGAAGACCAAGGGUUCCUGUCCAACGUUAAUCGGGGCAGGGUGAGUCGACCCCUAAGGCGAGGCCGAAAGGCGUAGUCGAUGGGAAACAGGUUAAUAUUCCUGUACUUGGUGUUACUGCGAAGGGGGGACGGAGAAGGCUAUGUUAGCCGGGCGACGGUUGUCCCGGUUUAAGCAUGUAGGCUGAUUGUCCAGGCAAAUCCGGAUAAUCAAGGCUGAGGUGUGAUGACGAGGCACUACGGUGCUGAAGUAACAAAUGCCCUGCUUCCAGGAAAAGCCUCUAAGCAUCAGGUAACAUUAAAUCGUACCCCAAACCGACACAGGUGGUCAGGUAGAGAAUACCAAGGCGCUUGAGAGAACUCGGGUGAAGGA